ACAACGCUACGGCUAGUUAACUGACGUGCAACAGUGGACAAAUCAUCGACAAGCACAUUAAUUGACAGGGAUGUCGCGUUAUAACCAGUCUGAGAGCCAGCAAGCAGCAACACAGGGCACUGGAAAGACUUGGCAGACUUCCCAGCAGCACAGCCUCCUGGGGCUGAUUCAGCCAAUGUUCCCACCCAGGAAUCCUGGAUGUCUGACAGGAAACAGGCCCAACUCUCAAGGACGCUAUAAGUCAGCCUCUCCCCUCUCCCCUCACCCCAAGUCUCCCCCUCACCCGAAAACCUCUCCCAGGGCCAUUCUUUAUGCUUCUCUCAGACAAACUAUCUUACAAACAGACAUUCUUUUUCACCAAACCCCAUUUUCAACCUCCCUACCCUCUGCUAAGCUUCCCAUCAUAGCCCUGUCUUGCUUUAGCCUUUAAGCUAUUGAACAAUUUUAUUAGGUAAGAGAGCAAUGAUUAAUGGCUGAGCAGCAUCUGCAUGUACAAUUUUGUACUUUCAUGAUGAGGCUAGUGUUUUUCUGACCUUGUCAGAGCAUGUUUGGAUUAAAUGCUGCAGUUUGAGUGCUUCUUGUAGGCACAAUAGGGCGACAUCUCAGGACCUGCAGACAAGCCACAGCUGCAAUUAAAUCAGAAUCAAACUCAAGCCCACAAAAUGGAUUCUUUCAGUAUUUCAUUUAUUUUAUAAAAAGGGAAUGCAAUUACAAAAUGUUUAUGUACCUACAUUAGUGUUUCAGAUUGUACCGGUUUAACACAGGCAGCGUGCUACUGGACACACAAGGCUAUUGCACACGAGACAUUUCAUACAACACAAAUCAUACAUACUGUACAAAGAUACAUACAUACAUACAUACUUACAAACAUACAGUUUUUCAUAUAUUUAUCAUAAAAAAAUCAUAGAAUCAGGCAACACGACAAAGUGAUAGGUACAUAGAUUUAAACACCUCUCCAUCUGAAACAAACUGGGGGAAAGCAAACAUCACUGAAGCUGCCAAAGUGCUUUUCACCAUUUCUACUUGGCCAUCUAAAUGUAAAGGUCAAGAAAAAACACAGAGGGAGAGAAGAAUUUUUAAAUGUGUGUCUACAGGAUGAACAUUAGUGUAAGUUUGAACAACAGGAACCGGACAAUGAAAAACAGGACUUCCUAUGGCUGAAGGAAGUUGCAUGUCGUAGGAUGUCAUAGAAUGAGGAUGAAGCUAACCUCCCUGGGAGGCAGAUUCCCCCUGUGCAUUUGAAAAAAAGAAUUUCUCUUAUUUUGUAGGGGAGGCGUGGGGUCUUUGAAAACUGAGAUUAUAUCUUAAAUUGCAUAUGGCAUUAUGGCUCGCAAAUUAAACCAGGAUGUUCACAACAAGUUCUUGUUCAUGGUGCUAUUUAAGACUUCACAGUGAGGGUGACCUACCCUGUGUAUCCCACUCUCCGAUCGUCAGUGACUUGGUAAUUCAAAAUAAUGAUCAAUAAUACUGUCAACAAUGGAGCGCCUGCCCCAAACACUUCAUACAUACAUUCAGCCUAAUUCCCCAAGAGGAAGGCACAAACAGAGACAGCACAUUGCUGCUAUGUUGCUACAACACUGUCAGGACAUUGGUCCCAUUAGUCAAAGCUGCUGGACAGCUGUCAAUGAGUAAAUUUCAUCAGUGCCAACUCACUUCAGGAAAUGUGCUUUCUGAUUAGGCCUUCCUCCACAGAAACUGUUAAGAUACAAAAGACAACAGUAAAAGCAAGAGGGACAGAUUAUGACGGCGAAUGAGGGAAGGGGUGUUAGUGAUGGAAGCUGGAGCUGGAAUAUAUCAUACACAUUAGUGCUUACAAACGAGUUAGAAUUUCAUGCAGUAAAUGUAAGCAGAUUAUGCAAAUUUGUUGUAGUUUAUCAGAUGGUUUAAGCAAGGUUAUAUAGGGAAUAUAUAGCCCUGGUUUUGUUGAAGGAGAACUCGUGGUAGUAUGGCUUCUGUGGAGUGCAGUGUGGAGUGAAGCUGAUCACUGCCUCGGUUCAGUAAGGAAUGAGCGAUGAAUCUGUAGGCCUAAUGUAUACAUAUAUCAGUGAAGGAGAGUAAUGUGGUUCAACCUUACAAAGGAAAACAAUCACUGAAGUAAUCUACAAAGUGCAACUCUGCAAGCUUUGCAUUGACACAGUUCUUGAAAGGCCCAAAACAACUCACCAUAACUAUGAUAUUAUGCAUGCUAUGUUUCCAUUUUUUGGCUUUUAAUAGGGUUUUACAUGUUUAGAAAGAAAAACAAAAUUAAGAUGACAGGCGUAUACAUUUAUACAUUAAAAUGGUUUGCAACUCCAUAUUAAGUGAUGGGAGUACCCAUAAAAAAAAAGCUAUUUUCACAUUUCUGAAAGUUCUCACCCUUUAAAUUGGUUCCCUCUUGAAAGAUUGUGACUUACACCCACUGCUUGGGUGAAUUGAUUAAAUGCUGAUUCUGACUCUUCACACAAAUUUGAUUGUAAUACGAAGAAGUCUGCAUCGUAGAAUGUGUCUCUGCAGACAGCUGUGUCCCAGCCUCGCCAGGCAUCUCAGUCCAGGGUGUGUGCUUGCUUCUCUCUGUCUCAUCACAGCCUCUCAUACUUGAUCUCAUAUACACUCACACUCACACACACACACUCACACACACACACGCAUGCACACACACACACACACACACACACACACACACACACACACACACACACACACACACA